CUCUUCUCUCGGUUAGCAAGGCUUCCGCUAUCGCAACCAGCUCUUUUUUAGUUACUUUGAUUUUUUCGUCGUGGCUUUCGUGAUCGACGUGCAUACGUUGUGGGCAGCCAUCUUUUCCGAGAAUCUUUUGAGUAGGACCUUUUGUCCUCGAAAUGGCUACUUUGUAUACUUUUCUUCAUGGAUUCACGUUGGCCUUGUGACAGAGAUCGUCAAGUCAAGACUGGCUUUCUUGUUGAGCUUGAACGCUUUGUUCAAUGCAGCUCUUGCUGCUCUAUAAGGUAACCUUCGUUGCUCCCUCAAUACUGGCCCUCUGCAUCGUCCUUGUAGCUCGAAAGCACUGUGCACGCAGAUCAGCAAUCUUUGGGUUCCAUCAGUAGACGGAGUGUCGACUGUUUCUUGUGUUUCUCAGAUAGCGCCGCUACCAGUUCGUCUGCACUGAGAUUCAGUGAAUUGUCCUCCAGGCUAAGUGGUUCCACAAAAAAAAGUAAAAAUAAAACUUAUCUGGUCGAACACUACAGAUUGUCGUCAAUCUAAGCGAUUCAUUGAACCAGAUGCUUCUAAAACAUUAAGGUUAAUGAACCUGAACAAACAUGAUUUAAGCAUUUAGACUGGACUAGUAACAGGCCACUGCCCUUGCAAAUAUUACCUAAAUAUAAUUGGGAAAUUACAAGAUAACAAAUGUCGUUUCUGUAAAUUUGAGAGCGAAAGCUCUGAACACUUAUUGUGUGAGUGUGCUGCACUUUAUCAAAAGCGCCGCGGUUACCUUGAUAAAGACUUGAUGGAGCCUUGGGAAAUCUGGGCCUCUCAUCCCAAACAGGUAUUGGAUUUCAUACGAAAUGCAGUACCUGAAUGGGAAACACGCCAAUAGCUGUGAGGAUGAUCAUUUCUCCAUAGUGAUGAGUCUUUUCAGUAUGGCAAAAGUAAAGAGGAUGACACCACAAUAGAUCAAAUUAAUGGUCGCAGUGGUACUAUGUCCCCAACAGAGAAAAAAAAGUGGUUCCACAAACACGUUUUUGUUGAAGUUCACUGUCUUCCUCUUCCAAAGUAUAGCGUUGUUCUUUGUUGUGCAUGCGAGCACAAAGUAUCAUAUAUCAAAUUCAUGGCACGUAGCAUAUUUGUUCACCAGUCCUCCUAAUUGCGAGGUGACGCAAAAUCUUUUUCAUUCCAUAAAUUUUCGUUUAAAAUUUUCAUGGUCUCACCAUUCUUGUAAGGUGACACAUUUGUGUGUAAAUAUAUUGUACGGUUGCAUGGAUCGCAACACUUACCAAUCAAUCCCUUCCUACUAACAAACCUCCUUCCCGUGACAACUGUGGAGGGCCCAGUAGUACAUACAACCUCUAGUAGCAACGGUUUUCAAACUAACAUUCCUUCCCUUCCCCGGUAUUCCGUAAGAACGUGACCAGCGCGUCAUUGACCCAAUAAAGUUUGAGUUCUCGAAACGUGUACGUUGAGGAUGUUGGCAAAUCCCAAGCCCCAAGCCUAUUGGUUCUCUGUACAAUUUCGAAAGCUCACGUCAAUCACGGAGUAGCAACUACGAAGUGUACGGUCACCAAUGCUCAUUGCUCAUGCUCAAGUUCGUUGUCUUCCUCUUCCGCUCGUUCAUAUGUGUUCCACUUGACUCCAGCCGUGUCUUGCCUCCAACUUGGUACCGGAUGGUUUGAUGCUCACUGUGGGUCUUCAGUUUAUUGCCCUCAUCAACACAUAACUGCAAAAAGUGACAUCGAUGAUAAAGUCUUGACCUUCCCUGCGAUACGUACAUGACGAAUUUCGCCCCAAAUCGUAUUCGGAGUUGGCAGCACCCUUUCAGAUUACAAUGAAAUUUUCUGGGUAUGUACACCAAGACUAGAUAAGCCACUUUGCAUACUUAGUUUCUUCAAAAUUUAUCUGGACUGACUUUUGAAAAGGGCUAAACUUUUUUAUGGAUUUUUUAAAAAUGUUUUUAAUCAAAAAAUGACUACUCCUACAAAAAAGUGUUGUAUGGGUGAUUAUCACAAAAUAAGUAAAAUUUUAAGAAAAAAAUACUGAAAAAAAUCCAAAAUGAGCCCUACACUGAAAAAAAUCAUUUCUAAAAAUUCAAAGUUGAUUUAAAAAAAAACACCAUUUAUGAUUUUGAUGAAAUUUUAUCUCAAGACAGGUAAUUAUGUUCCCUACCAACCGUCCAUACAUCACAAGAUGGGCACUUUUAAGGAAAAAAAAUUUUCUAACAAAAACUUUUUCAUGUCCAAAUUAUUAUUUUUUCAGUGUCUUUUUUAAAAACAAACUAAACCAGUGAAGGUUAUCUAGUAAUCUCAAAAUGCAAUGAAUCUUAUUGUGUCAUAUGCGACAAUGCAAUGCACCCAUAUUCACGCAGCAGCACUCUAGAAGUACGAAACAAUAUACAAUUAGAACACGCAUUUCAUACGUGCUGCUGUAAUUUCUACCCAAACGUUUCUACCCCAUGUUCUUACCUAAUAUUAGGUAAGGCUAUUUAUUAGAUUCGAACUACCUAAUCGAAAAAAAAAAACAAAUCAAGAGUUGUACCUAAAGCAAAUAUGAACAAAACAAGAAAAUGAAUCGGUAUCAUUCAACGUGUUACUUCUCUUUGGUUAUUAAAGGCAGUUCUGAAAAGUAAUGGAUCAAUCGUAUAAAUCAAAAUUCAACAAAUUCAACUGCAGUGCAAAAAUAAACAAUCCAAAGUGCAACCGUCAUAAUCUACGGGGCAUGUCAUUAAGAUUGAUAGAUAAAAUUCAUUCCAUGGGAUAUACACAUGAAAUCGACGAAUCGAUGAGUAUUUGUGAGUCAUGUCGUGGAUUGAUAAGUCACAACAGAAGCCCGAAUACGAAAAAACGCCGAUCGGAUGGAAACGACGAAACUAUGCAACCAUCAUUUAGUGGGCAGCAACAUCAUGAUGUUCCAGAACCAGAACCGUCAACGAGUGGUCAACAAAUCGAACAUGAGCUGGAUAUGGUACCAUCUAUUCCAUCAUUGGAGUCAAUUCCGUCAACAGAUCAACUACAGGGUCCCCAUAAUAUUGAGAAGUUUAAUACCAUUGCUGAAACAUUGAGUUUAUCGCCAAUCUCAUCUAGAAACAUGAGAAGUAUGGAAUAUCGCAUAAACAAAUCAUUGCAGAUUACGAAAGCAGUUCGAAAAAAUAUCUUCGGAAUAGAUUCAACGGAUGUUGGCAAAGUGGAAGCGUAUGACGAGAUAAUUAUGCAGUUAAAGGAUAAGUUCAAUCACCCUACAACUGACAGAAGCGAACAGAUUAAAAUACUAUCUGUACACACUUAAUUUGGAAUACCGUGUUCGGUAAUUUUUUGACGAAAAUAGAACAGCUGUAUACUGCUAUACUGCAUUGUUUACCUUUUGCACCAGGUUUUGACAGCUGGUGUACUGAGCUUCAGUAAAAUCGAUUACCGAAGCUACCGAAAUAGUUCUGCUGUUCUAUUUUCGUCAAAAAAGUGCUGAAUAGGCUAUUCAGGAUUGAGUGUGUACUUCCUAAGUCUUGGUCGGUAAAUAAAAUCACAAGAGAGUUUAACGCACCAACCGAGAGUUUAACGUACCACCGAAAAAAGAAGGGGGCAUGGUAUUGAUGACGAUACAAAACAAAUAGUAAGAGAAUUUUUUGAUGAUAAUGAUAUCAGCAGGCCAAUGCCAGGAACAAAUGAUUUUGUUUCUGAGGUUCGAAAUGAAAAAAAAACAACAAGUUCAAAAACGACUUUUGAUGAUGUCGCUCUAAGAGGCUUAUAUGAUUUUUGUAGAUAUGUACAAAACUGUGAAUAUUGGUUUCACAGUAUUUACACAGUUGCGACCAAAGCAUUGUAUUUUACUUGAUUCUACUGGUAUACAUAAUGUAUGUAUAU